rnacentral:rRNA from 1 species
AGAGAGAAGGGGGUAGAGACGAAGAGAAGAAGAGGACGUGUCAGGUGUGACAAGUAGAGGAGAAGCUAGGGGUUUAGGGUUCGACUGGUUGGUUCGGGGGCGGGGCGUACCUCACCUGCCGGGGCUUCAGGUGGGGCGAGAGGGGCGGGGUGGAGGAGACCCUGACCCCGCUGCGGCGGCGCGGCCCGAGGAGGCCGCUCCGCCGCCCCUCCGCGCCCUUCCUCUUCGCCCGGUCCCCCCUCCCCCGGCCGCCUCCUCCGCCUCCUCCUCCCCCGCACUCCACGGUCCACCUCCCGACGCCCCAGCUCGAGGCGCUGCGCUUCCUCAUGGUGGCCUUCGUGGCCCAGACGCUCCGGGUGUGGUUCAAGGGGGCGCAGCAGCAGCGGCCGGUCCUCGCGGCGAAGACGGUCGUCACGUCGGCCAAGGUACGCGACAGCCUCAAGCUGGUCUUCUUCUCCUCGACGGCCUCCGCUGACAGGCUGGUGUUACGAGCCGCGUCCUUCGGUGUCGGCCUGCGUAAGAGGAAACGUGGCCGUUCCGAGGGCAGCAGUAACUACAAACUACUAUCUGCCGUUUAUUCAAAACAGACCUUAUUUCUAGGUUCGGUACGUUCCGGAAAGGGUACAAGAGGUACCCUGUCGGGUAGACUGAAGUUCGAGGGCGUUCACUUCCUUUAUUCUCUCCAUAGUUAGUUACCUGUUCAAGUAAAACUAUUUAGAGUAGAUGGAUUACGACAAGGUCGUGACUCAGUACUGUAUCGACUCGACGAUGGUUACUUUCCAGGCCUGCGUAGACAUUGGCGAAGCUUUAAUCCACCUCGUGGCCUAGAAGUCGUACGAGAGAGAGAAGACAGUCGAUCAAGAACACCUAAUGGACUAGGACAUGUCGUUCGUAGAACAGAGCAGGUUAAGUGACCACGGUCGGUUUUGUCGGCCCCGGGAAGUGGUGUACCUCCCUCGGGAGGCAGCCGCAGGACACGGCUUCCUGUCGGGUACCACGGUAGCGGAGUCAAGCAGGCAAAGUGGUACCUACCGCGGUCGUCACCAAUACUUAGAUGAAAGAAGCCGCAUUUGGCCUACUUAACUACGCACUUCUGCGUGCUCGUAGACAUGGUAAAACCUAGAUGUCGGUCCUUCUCGAAUACGUUCUUGACGAGGACAGUUGAUGAUGGUCUCACCUUUUAGAGUGACAAGUACAAUGGAUAUAUGAGUAACUAAUGGAACAAUAAAAAGGUAACAUGUUGGGACGACGGUUAACAACCGAGCAAAACUUUGGUAACAACUACUUAGACCUGUACUAAACAAAGUAUUUCACUGCUGAACAUAUAAAAGAAGAGGGAC